rnacentral:rRNA from 1 species
UACGGGGGGGAGCAAGCGUUGUUCGGAUUUACUGGGCGUAAAGGGCGCGUAGGCGGCCACGACAAGUCACUUGUGAAAUCUCCGGGCUUAACUCGGAACGGUCAAGUGAUACUGUCGGGCUAGAGUGCGGAAGGGGCAACUGGAAUUCUCGGUGUAGCGGUGAAAUGCGUAGAUAUCGAGAGGAACACCUGCGGCGAAGGCGGGUUGCUGGGCCGACACUGACGCUGAGGCGCGAAAGCUAGGGGAGCGAACGGG